rnacentral:rRNA from 1 species
UACGUAGGGGGCUAGCGUUGUCCGGAAUCAUUGGGCGUAAAGAGCGUGUAGGCGGUCCGGUAAGUCCGCUGUGAAAGUCGGGGGCUCAACCCUCGAAUGCCGGUGGAUACUGUCGGGCUAGAGUGCGGAAGAGGCCAGUGGAAUUCCUGGUGUAGCGGUGAAAUGCGCAGAUAUCAGGAGGAACACCUAUUGCGAAGGCAGCUCGCUGGGACGUAACUGACGCUGAGACGCGAAAGCGUGGGGAGCAAACAGG